rnacentral:lncRNA from 1 species
AAAACAGGCACCGCAACACCCGCCCCAUCCCCCAUCCAUGCCUCUUCUUCCUCCUCCACAGGCUUCGGACUCCCGUCUCCUCCUCCAUUAAAACCUCACAGUGAAAACACCAAUUACUACUGCCUUUUCUCUUUUGGAUGGAAGGACGAUCACAGUAUCGCAUCCGAAGGAUGAAUCAGUUCGAUUGCCAUCACCAUUUAAAAGCUCCUCCUGCUCCUGUUGUGCUCCAUGACGCUGCAGUUGGCCUCCACCUUCUCGACGAAGCUGC